CUUCUUCUCGUUCUUCCGUCUCCUUUCUUCUCUCAUCUACGCCAUUUCUCUUCUCUCAUCUACACCAUCUCUAUUUCCUCCUCCAUUUUUUUUUAAACCUCCCAAAUUUUAAUUUCUAUGUCUCAGAUAUGCUGAAAUUUUUUUUCCUUUCGUUCAAGGUUUGUUCCCCACUUCUGUGCUUCCGUCGAACCAGAAUCAACAAGGACAUAGAAGGAAAUCAAAAGAUGAAUUUGUAUCAUGUGUUUGAUUGUUUUGUUGGGUUUACUCUGUAAAAUACACAUGUGAAUACGCAAAUGUACUUUUUAUUUUCUUUCA